rnacentral:rRNA from 1 species
AGAGUUUGAUCAUGGCUCAGGAUGAACGCUAGCUACAGGCUUAACACAUGCAAGUCGAGGGGAAACGACAUCGAAAGCUUGCUUUUGAUGGGCGUCGACCGGCGCACGGGUGAGUAACGCGUAUCCAACCUGCCCAUCACUUGGGGAUAACCUUGGCGAAAGUAAGACUAAUACCCAAUGAUAUCUCUAGAAGACAUCUGAAAGAGAUUAAAGAUUUAUCGGUGAUGGAUGGGGAUGCGUCUGAUUAGCUUGUUGGCGGGGUAACGGCCACAAGGCUACGAUCAGUAGGGGUUCUGAGAGGAAGGUCCCCCANAUUGGAACUGAGACACGGUCCAAACUCCGUACGGGAGGCA